rnacentral:rRNA from 1 species
ANNNAAUGAAAAGAACUUUGAAGAGAGAGUUCAAGAGUACGUGAAACCGUUCAGGGGUAAACCUAAGAAACCCAAAAGAUCGAACGGGGAGAUUCAUCGUCAGCGACACCGGCUUCGCGUCGGUGGGCGAUGUCCCGCGGUUUCUCGCGCGGGCACGCUACCGUGCGCGCAUGACCGGCUUCGUCGUCGUGCACUUCUCCCCUAGUAGAACGUCGCGACCCGCUGGGUGUCGGUCUACGGCCCGGGUGAGGUGACUGUCGCGUCGCCGGUAAAACGGCACGCGGCAAACCCUCGGACGCCCGGCCGGCUGCCCGGCGGUACUCGCACGGUAUCAGGCCGCAGUUUGUCUGCGUCAAGCCCGUCGCAAGCGNGCGCCACGGUUACUCGGAGGUACGGACCUAGCGCCGUCCCCGGUCCUGGUCCGCUGUUGGCCGACGGUGACCCUUUGACAGGCCUUACGGGGCGACGUGGGGGGCUUUCGCCGUUCCACGUCCGCCCUAAUACCGGUCGGCGANGCUACUGCUUUGGGUACUCNUAGGACCCGU